CGCCAGGCUCGAAGUUAAAAGUGACAAAGGGAAUGCAGUGAAGUCUUUCUCCUGUCCCCCUGCCCAGCCGCUCAAUUCUUUCCCCAAAGAGCAGUAAGAGACUGGAAGGAAGAGAAGGAAGAGGAGGAGAAAGUCUUCCAGUAGGGUGAGGAAACUGAGGUUCAGGGAAGCAAGGCUACAGGGCUCGAAAGCUACAGAGACAGGACUGGAUUUUGGCCGAGGUCCCUGAGCACUUGGAGUGGAUGGAGCUUGGAGGAGGGCAGCACUGUGGACUAGCCAAG